CAUUCUUGGCUGGGGUUUUUUCUCCCUGUGACUCAAUGCAUGCCAUUGACUCAAUGGGUGGCAGAACCAGGGGGACAAGGGUUUACUGGGAAGGCAAAUACAUUGGUUGAAUAUCUCACAAAUGUUAUCUCCAUUACAUCAGCAUAAGGAUUUCAGUGCAGGAUGAGGGGAGCCAAAGUCAGUGUGGUAAAUGUUACUUUGUUUUCACCUUGUGACAUGGGUAUACCCACUUCAUGUGAAAACUCAUGCCUCAAAGUGAACAUGAUUAAAACUGAACUAUUGAUUCCACCACUAUCCACCCAAUUAGUCAGGUGCAAACCUGAGUCGUUAUGGAUUCUUCUCUUUUCUUCACACCCCACAUUUAAUCUGUCUGCUAUUCAGGGCCACUAAAGGGAAGGGGAGACUUUUUCUAAUUUUCCCAACAGUGCUGUACAGGCCAGCAGUGGCCUCGUUGCUGAAAUCCUAGGCCAAGCCACCAGCAUGUGUCACUGGACUUCUGCCACUGUCUCCUCCCUGAUCUCCCCACUUCUGUGUUUGACCUCCUACAAUCCAUUCUCCACAAAGCAGUCAGACUCAUCUUCUUAAAAUAUAAAUUAGAUCAUAUCACUUCCCAGCUUCCCUGUUUUCAACCUUCCAGUAGCUUCCCAUCAUUCUUUGACCAUCAUUCUUUCCCAUCUCUGCCUCCCUCUUCCACCUCAUCUCCUCAUCUCCUUCCAAGACUUUCCUCUUACUCUGCUCCAGCCAUACAUGCAUCUUUCUGCCUUCAAAUACACCAGGUUCAUUUCUAUCCCCAGGUGCUUUGCACUUACUGUUUCUUUGCUAGGAGAGCUCUUCCCUAGAUUGUCACACUGCUGCCUCCUUUUUAGCCUUCAGGUCUCAAUUCAGAUGUCACCAAGUAGCCACACCACACCCCAGGUACAAUUUGCCAUAUUAUCCUAUUUUAUCUUCUUCAUAGCCCUGAGUUCCUGAAAUUGUUUUAUUUAUUUGUUUGUUUACAUGUUAUUACCUGUCUCCCCCUCACUCAGAAUGCAACCACCCUGGACAGAGACUGUAUUUUUUGCAUUAAACAGUUCCUGGCACAUAGUAAAUACUCAGUAAAUAUUUGUGGACCGAAAUCAACUAAUUCCAACCAGAGGGGAAAAGGAGUCAGAGAAUAUUUUUUUAAUUCCAUAAGCACUGGUGGAUAACUUUUUAUUAGUUACCAUUUAGAAGAAAUCAGCCAAUUCUACUAGUUUCUAUGUAAGGGAAUCAUGAGAUUAAUGUGGCUUUCUAGUGAGAAACUUGGCUGCAAGAUAGAACUAGCAUCUAUAUUUAUGCCACAGAAAAGCAGCUUUUUCAAAUAAUCAAGACAGAUCAAGGUAUAAAUUUUUAGCCUUAUUUGCCAGGUACCAAAUUGGAAUGAUUGCAUAUGUGUUGCUGUAUGCUUAACUUGCUGUAGAUCGCCUGCUAUUUUGGGGUCCCUUGAUUGCUAAACGUUGUUUACUUGAUUUCUUUCAUUUUAAGUAUAGCUGAAAAGGCAGGGCUGAUGAGAGGCAAAUGUAAAAAGAAAGCCAACGUCAAUGAUUUUUCAGGCACGCUAUAAAACAAUUGCCAACAAUCUUCAGGUAUUUCUUGUACUUUCAAAACUGAAAACUAAGCUCUCCUUGAUAUGUGCUAAAAAUAUUUGAAUAACUGAUAUACCAGAAAAUCCUGAACAGCUACAUAAUCACUGAAGCAAGAACAUUAAAACUCUGCUCUGGGUGACAUGUUUUAGAACAAAGAUGCAGGAAAAUUAGGCCUCAUUUUGGUCAGAGUAGAUGAAGUCAAACAAACUUCCCCAUUCUUGGUGUCACAGAAUCUGAAAUUUCUACCAUCAGAGCUUCAUUUUUUAUCCUGGAGUUCUCUUUUAAAAUGCAUAUAUUCCUAGAAAUAUAUUAGACAAAUUCAUGAAGAUAUUGAAACUAAUUGAUCCAUGUUCCUCCCAGUGGGAGAGAUUACCAGUAAGAGAGCCCUGAAAGAGAGAGAAAGAUGCAUCGGGGAGACUAGAAGCACCAACUCUGGCUUUUCUGAACCUAGUCUGGACCCAAUACAGUAGGUAGAUGUUGAACAACUUUGCAUAAUAAUAUUGAGGGGCAAAUGAUUUAAGAGUGAAUUUUGUGAUAUGAGUUCCUUAAUCUGAGAAAAUGGAUUUUUUGAACUUUGUGUUGCUAUGCAAUAUGAAUUUUGAUGGAUUUUUUCCAGUUAGGGUCCCAAAGGGAAACAGAUGGCACACUUAAAUUAGGACAACUUGAAGAGAGUUUCCUUUCAAAGAGACUAUUUACAAAGGGGUUAGUGGGGUGUAAUGGAAACCCAAGGGAUAGUCUAGGAACUAGGGGUUAGAAGCAGCAGUGUGGUUGACACCCUUAGGCCCUAAGGGAGUGAUUAUCAGAACCUGGAAAGGGAGUGUUAUUUGGAGAGACCACCAUAAAAGGAGCAAUGACCUUGACACAGCCAGAGGCAGACUCACUGGGAAAAAGCCAAGGGUUAAAUACCUUGACCUCACUCUUCUCUCUUCCUCUGGUCCUCUGCCAGGGCUCCUUACUGGCCAAACCCAACUGGAAGCUAAAGGGAAAGGGAAUACAUCCAUACCAGGUCAGCUUCUAUGGACAGAGAGGACAGUAGAAAAGGGUGGAGAGUAGAUCUCAGGAGCAAAUGGAAGAUAUCCAGCAUAAUGAUACUUCAUUCACUUGACAGGAAGUUCUGGGGAAGAGCCACCCAAAAUCCCUCCCUCUUCCCACUGCAAGCUUUCAGACUGAAGCCAUCUGGGGCUGGAGAAGAGGAAAGGAUGUGUCUGUAAGAUCAAUGUGGAGUUUUGAUCAAUAUCUUAGACUGGACAUUCCAAUUUCUACAAGUCUGUGUCCAUAACUGAUAUUUGACACUCUAUGACAUCAGAGUGGCCAGAAAAUUUAAGGACCUGCCAGAAUUUUCAUCCUGGUGCAGAAAAAGAUGACCCCUGCACUUUAUAUAUAUGUAAAGAAGGAAUGGGGACAAAAAUAAAUAAAUAAAGUUGAAUUUUGGUCAUGUUAAAGAAUUGUGCUCAUUCAACAUAUGACCUACAUAAUCUUUUCCAACUAUCUCUCUUUACAGGUAAUGAAACUGAAUUCCAGAGAGCGGGAACACAUGCCCUGAUUCAGCAAGCCAUUUCACAUCCAAAUCCAAACUAAAGCCAAACUGUGCUUCAGCUUUAACUGGAUGACAUAAGGCAGCCGUCUGUAGGGCCAUGGACACGAAGCAACUGAGUCCCCAUCUGCAGAGAAGCAGCUAAAUAAUCACUUUGAGUCAGUUGCUGCUGUGAAACCCGAAACCUGAUCAUUGAAGAAGCCUGCAAUAUGGCAGAAAACAAGGCACACCAGGAUCUUCUGCUCCAGCUGCACAUUGAGGAUUCUGGUCUCUUUUUGAAAAUGACCUUACAUUUCUAGUUAGUUUAGUUGCUAUAAUUCUUUCCUUAAACAAGUUUACAAAGUUGUUGUUUUUUAAGGAAUAUUAUACUUACGCACAACUCCAAAGCAGCUCACUAUAGUCUUUUGAUAUAACACUGCUUGACUACAAUUUGUGGGAAAUGACAUAAAGCAGAUUAAAUGAAUUAUCUGGUUAAACCCUUUUA